rnacentral:lncRNA from 1 species
CACAUUAAAUGAAGCAUCUGUUUAUCUAUUGGACAAGGACUGACACUGACUGAAUUCACUGCUAAAUUUGCCACAGCUAAGGUUAAACAAAAGGUAAUUUGUUAUUUUGGCUACUCAUCCAUUGGUGUAUGUACAGUUACUACUUAAAUUCCAGAAAAAGACACGUUCAGAAGGCUUGUGAAAAAUGAAACAGUUUUCCUCCCAGUGAUGGCAGGGAUCUCAAAUGAGUUGUGCUGUCAAUGGGAGCACAAGAGGUUAUCCAGUUUUCCAUAAUCUAUAAAGCUUCUUCAGAAUCAUGUCAUUAGCUUUCCUGUGGUAGCACGCAGCAGAGCUAAUAAUGCAAUU